UCCAGAACAAGACUGUGAGACAUUUUUGCAGAUAUCUGUACAGAAUAAGGUACACUGACUGGAGAGUCUCAUAGACUUGUUAUAUUAUGUAUUUAGGAGCCCUACAAUUGAGCAAGAGUUGCCUAAUGACAGAUGGAAGCUGUUAUAGACAAUGAAGUCUGAGAAACUCUCCUGUCACUGUCCUCUUUAUGGCUUAUGGCCAAGACAGUCCUCUGAUUUAUCCUGUUUUGAAUACUUUUGAGGCUAAAAAAGGAAUGUGUUUGUCUUGCUUAUUCUUGUGAUUCAAAAGUGGGAGGUAAAAGGUAGAGAGGAAUAAGAAAAGGAAAUGAGCGUAGGUGAGAACAGUAACAAAUAAAGCGCUGAUGAGUGCUACCCUCUAACAUCUCCUUGACCAGCAGAAGUGAGACAGAGCUAUUUGUCUCUGUCCCAAAACUUGAAGGUUACUUCCUGAGAAAACGGAGAUGGUUGGAAAGAAAGGGGAGUUUGGAGCUAUGGAAGUUGUUCUGCUGUUGUGGAAUAUGGUAGGAGAGCAACAUAGGUACUGUAAGAGACCGCUCAAGACUGUGGUUCUAUUGUUUGAAAAUUUCUCUCAUAGCACAGCUGUUAGCAGGAGGAUCUGUGGUGUAAUAAUAUCUUUUGCCUUCUUUAUGAUUCUGUCAUUUGUGUUUUUGUCCUAAAGAUCUUUUUCUUAAAGCUUGUCUAUUCAGCUGUCACAGGCAGUGUGACUUGAAUUGCUCACUUUGAUAUGAAGCAACCUCUUGAUUUGGGCAACUUGAGUUGUGCCAGAAUAUCUUCCUUGCUACUCCAAAUCUAGACCUUGCUAAUAAAUUACCCAUGACUGCCUAAAGCACAGCUUUUCCUAGUUAGAAACAAUAAUAUUAGAUAAUGGUUUAUUAUAGUGGGGAGUCAAUAUGAGAGUGGGAAUGUAUUCUAGUUACAGACAUCAAAACUUGAGUGGUAAUUCAUACUAUACAUACUUAGUUAUUAUACUUCUAUUUUAAUUUUCUAUUGCUUGAGAAACACUUUCAUUAGCCCUUCAAAUAAUGCCUUGAGGACAGACUCUGUGGUAACUGAAGUUCAUGAACCCUCAGCAGGCAGUGUUGUGCCUCUGUUAAAUACAUUAAACAAGCCCAUUUUUAUGACUUGUGCUAAGCAAUGGUCAUAAAUGACUGAAAAGAGACUUUACCAUCCAAACAAAAUUAAGUAACUAGUUCAUCCGUUUAUCAUACCAAAUGAAGCUAUAGAAUUUCUGCUUUUUUUUUUGUUGUUGUUGUUUGUUUGCUACCUUAUUUAUUUCUGUAAUGCUGGUACUCAGGGUGUCACAGGCAUGUGGAGGUGACAUCUAUCUGAAGUGUUUGAUGAUGAUAGAAUUUUUGAACCACUUAUUACUAAUUAAUACUGCCACUCAAAGAUUCUUUCUGAUUUACUAGAUACUUGUAUAAUAACCACAUUAUCUACCAUACUAGCAAAAUCUAUGGCCAUGGUGGCAUGGCCACUUUGAAAAUACUCAAGCGUUCUGUAGCUGGUACCUGACAUCGUUCUAAGCAGUAAAGCUGAUAGCAGACUUCUAGUGGCUUUGGUAAGUUUGGAGAUAAAAAUGAUUUAUAAUUUGUGACCUCCAAAGUUUUGAGGUCAUGACUGAGUUUUAAUACUGUGUUUUCCAACCCCUUUCAGACUGUGGAUCUUGGAACGUGUGGAUAGUGAAUAAGCCUGUGAAAUAUGAACUAUUCCUUGUUUUUGCUCAACACAAGGUGGCAGUAGGACAUUGCCUGGUGACGUACAAUAGCUGGGGCUGCUUGAUGUUUCCAUCCUCUUUACUUAUCCGUCAGAUAACAAAGCCCUCCAAUGAACGAACACUGAAAGCCAUCAUGUUUAUAAUAAGAAUACUUUAGAUGAACAGAUGAAGAAAAUAUUUCUACUAACGUACGAAGCAGUUGGUUAUGUUUUAGCAAACCACGUUGUAUAACACUG
ensembl:lncRNA